rnacentral:lncRNA from 1 species
GUAGCUGCUUGACUGGUAAUUGCAUUGCUAUCUUUCUCUCUGUAGUCUUGUCGUUCUUCCUCUUUCUCUUUUGUAUUUUUAUGGAUUCGGGAAUAAAGCAAGUCAGCUUCUUGGCUGGAAUCGAGCCUUACGAUCCAGUCAAUAUAAUUACAAAAACUUGCGAAAAAGAAAUAGCCCAGUAUCACUCGCCUGACUCUGAUUUUUCCCCUUGAUUUUUCAGGCCCUUAUCCUACUGGCACAUAUCAUCUCGAUUACCAA